UACGUAGGGUGCAAGCGUUGUCCGGAAUUAUUGGGCGUAAAGAGCUUGUAGGCGGUUUGUCGCGUCUGCUGUGAAAUUUCGGGGCUCAACCCCGAACUUGCAGUGGGUACGGGCAGACUAGAGUGUGGUAGGGGAGACUGGAAUUCCUGGUGUAGCGGUGAAAUGCGCAGAUAUCAGGAGGAACACCGAUGGCGAAGGCGGCUUUCUGGUCUGCUCUUGACGCUGAGGCGCGAAAGCUAGGGUAGCAAACGGG
rnacentral:rRNA from 1 species